UACGUAGGUGACAAGCGUUGUCCGGAUUUACUGGGCGUAAAGAGCGCGCAGGCGGUCGUUCAAGUCGAGUGUGAAAGCCCCCGGCUCAACUGGGGAGGGUCAUUCGAUACUGAUCGACUCGAAGGCAGGAGAGGGAAGUGGAAUUCCCGGUGUAGUGGUGAAAUGCGUAGAUAUCGGGAGGAACACCAGUGGCGAAGGCGGCGUUCUGGACUGCAACUGACACUGAAAGACGAAAGCCAGGGGAGCAAACGGG
rnacentral:rRNA from 1 species